rnacentral:rRNA from 1 species
AACGAACGCUGGCGGCAUGCCUAACACAUGCAAGUCGAACGCGUGUAGCAAUACACGAGUGGCGGACGGGUGAGUAACGCGUGGGAACCUGCCCAAUGGUAGGGAAUAACUGCGGGAAACUGCAGCUAAUACCCUAUGCUCCCUACGGGGGAAGGAUUUAUCGCCAUUGGAGGGGCCCGCGUCGGAUUAGCUAGUUGGCGGGGUAACGGCCCACCAAGGCUACGAUCCGUAGCUGGCUGAGAGGAUGAUCAGCCACACUGGGACUGAGAUACGGCCCAGACUCCUACGGGAGGCAGCAGUGGGGAAUAUUGGACAAUGGGGAAACCCUGAUCCAGCAAUGCCGCGUGAGUGAAGAAGGCCUUAGGGUUGUAAAGCUCUUUCGGCGGGGACGAUGGUGACGGUACCCGCAGAAGAAGCCCCGGCUAACUUCGUGCCAGCAGCCGCCG